rnacentral:rRNA from 1 species
UACGGGGGGGGGCAAGCGUUGUUCGGAAUUACUGGGCGUAAAGGGCUUGUAGGCGGCCAACUAAGUCCGACGUGAAAUCCCAAGGCUUAACCUUGGAACUGCGUCGGAUACUGGAUGGCUUGAAUUCGGGAGAGGGAUGCAGAAUUCCAGGUGUAGCGGUGAAAUGCGUAGAUAUCUGGAGGAAUACCGGUGGCGAAGGCGGCAUCCUGGACCGACAUUGACGCUGAAAAGCGAAAGCUAGGGGAGCAAACGGG